GGUUUGAAGCUUUCUCUCUCACUCCACUGAGCUCAGUUUCUAUUUCUCUACUUGAUGGGACAUCUUCAUUUGAGGUGCUGGCGCCACCAUGGGCUGUAUUUCCACUACUUUGUUCUGUAAUCCACCUGCUUUCUGUUGGUAUAAAAACCAGGAGCUCUUUCUCAUCAAUCUCAUGAAGCUGGAUCCUCUUACUCUUUUGCACCCAAAGCAAAGAAAGUCUGCUCACUUAGUGUUGUGGUAGGCAUCUAUGGGCCAGUUUUGCACAAUGGAGUAGUUUACUGCUUUAGUCCAAUUGAAGGCAGGCUGUCCAUGAAUUCGUGAAGCACUUUCUUUUGGUUUGUUGGAAUUGAACGAAGACCUCACUUUUUUGGGGAAAACAAACUGAACGGGUAAGUUUUCUGAAUUUGAUUAGCGAUUCAAGUUAUGCAUAUCCUAUUUCUUGUGUCUAGGUGAUUACCAUAUUGAGAUGUGUGAAAUAUGUGAUAGGUGGACAGUAUUACAGUUUCUUGAGAGAUGGGGAUGGAAAUUCUUGCUCAUAAUUGAUGAAUGUGGAAUGUGGACACGCAAGAGAAGUCCUCUAUUCAAUUAGUGAGCUGUGAUAUGUAGUCAAUAUGAUCUCAUUCUUUAAAGCAUGAACCAAAGGAUAUUGUUAAGAUGCCUGUUGAUUUUUAGGCUCCGACUGACUUAAUUAAAGCGGGAUUUUUCCCCGCAUAGUAUCUGAAGAAUUAAGAUUUAACCAAACAAACUAAUGUAAUUGACAGAUUUCUACAAUUAUUUUUAUGGGGACUUAUAUGUACGCGUCAACCUGAAUGUAAUCUAUUCAUCAUUAGCAUCAUAACUCUGGGAGAUGGAUCCAUAUUUCUUACUAUUAAAAUGGACCACUUGACACCAUUUGAAGGCUCAGUCUGUAAUUUACAUUUUGCAAUCACCCAACUUUCUGGCUCCAACAGGAAAUUUUACAGGAACGUUCGAACGCUCGAAUGUGUAUUAGUUUGUUUGGUUAAAUCUUUAGACUAUCUUUAGACGUGUUGAGUACCGUUUGUUGCUCUAAUGAAAGGAUGAACAUUUGUUUUGAUUUACAUUAGCAUCGCUAAGAAACUGCUAAUGAAUAUAGAUGAUUGUUACUUUUAUGGGAUGUGAAGCAGUGCAUUGUCAUGUGUUUCGCAUGCUUUCUACAAAGAAGCAGCAUACCAUCUAUCUUACUGUUUUCUGGUUAGCCUUUGCUUGGUGUCCCAAGUGAUCAAGAUCAGAUCCUCAAAACAUUCAGGGGAAAGGAUGUUGUAAUCAAGAUGAAGAUAAUUUUGACAAAUGUGUGAAGAUAAGUUUUCCGUGGAUGAAUUUGCUGUCGGGAAUGUAAAGCAUAUUCUCUAACUCAAAUGAUCUGUGAUGCUAAUGCAUGCUAAUAGAUUUCCAUCUUUUGUGGUUUGAGGAUACAUUGAGGGUUGUGAUGGAGGCUUAGGGAAACAACAUAGUUAAUACUGGAUUGAAGAUUUCUUUCCUCUGUACAUGAGACUUACUGCAGCAUACUUGCCUUAUUUGAACUAAAAGUCCGCCUUUUAAUGACCGUAGCUUGUUUGUCCUUUCUAUUUUCUCCAUGCUUCAUUAGAUUUUUCAGCCAGUUCCAUGUUGCAAAUCACAUCUAUUGCUCUCCUGACUGGUUGCAGGAAUGGCCAAUCCAUUAGUUUGUUACUCUACUAUGCACCUUUGGUCCAUUUUCUGAAGCAAGAACCUCUGUGAGCAAUGAAUGACUUUUUUCAUCUGAGAAACUUCCAGGCCGUAAAAUUUGCAUUUGUCAGUAUGCUCACUCUCCUUUAUACACUUGAUGUAUGCUGAUUCAUGAUGCGUCAUGCCAGUCCUGACAUAAAUAUUCUUGGAAUAAACUGGCAAAAAGGAAAAUCUUGCUUAAUUGGGUAAAAAAGCCAGAGGCUGGGUUGGAAUGAGAAACCUUCCAAAUGGCAUUCGGCUUUGAUUAUCCAAGUAUACAAUACUAUAAUUUGAAUGCGCAGAUAAUUUUAGGGAAGGUGCAGUGAUGUAGAUGUUCGAAAACAUAAAAGGAUAAGUGCUCGCAUAUAGCUCUUUGACUAGGAUUUACAUUGCCAACACCGCCUUGGAGAAAAUUUUUCUCCAUGAGCGUCUUCAAUCACUGUUGAUGUGUUUGUCAAGUAGUGGGUAGCUAGUAGUUACACCAACAUAUCAACUGUUGUGGAAACCGCUUGUGGAGAAAGUUUUCUCCGCUGGCAUUGUUUCUAAGAAUUAUCCCUGUCAAGCUCAACAUUGCUUCAAUUAAGAAAGCAUCUAUUAGAUGACCUUGAGAGA